rnacentral:rRNA from 1 species
AUGCUGAUGCAGUAUAAAAGUGCCUCCUCGGCAGAUGAGGACCUGAGCAUGGUCGUGCUAAUGAGGAUGCAAGAUCCACCGCCACCGGCCAGUCUGAGUGAUUGCAGAGAACUUCGCAGGCAGAUCAAUUACGAGGAGGUCAAGGCUGAGCUGGAGUGGGGUGGGCGCCAACAUGAAGGAGCUGGAGAUAUCUCUAUUUUUGUCGGUCAUUAUUCAGGCUCUAAAGCUUCCCCUUUUCCUAUACCACAUUACUUGAUAUUAUUAAAUUCAGUAAGCUUACUCAACUGUGAACAAGUUCAUGUGGUAAGUAGGAUCAACAAGAGUUGGCUGGCAACUUCUAUGUAUAUGUUAUUAUGGAUCAGCCAAGGUGGUUAA